rnacentral:rRNA from 1 species
UACGGAGGGUGCGAGCGUUAUCCGGAAUCACUGGGUUUAAAGGGUGCGUAGGUGGCUCAAUCAGUCAGAGGUGAAAUCCUGCGGCUUAACCGCAGAACUGCCUUUGAUACUGUUGGGCUUGAAUUAGGUUGAGGUUGGCGGAAUGUGGCAUGUAGCGGUGAAAUGCAUAGAUAUGCCAUAGAACACCAAUUGCGAAGGCAGCUGACUAGACCUUAAUUGACACUGAGGCACGAAAGCGUGGGGAGCGAAC